UGAGGAAUAUUGGUCAAUGGACGAGAGUCUGAACCAGCCAAGUCGCGUGAAGGAAGACGGAUCUAUGGUUUGUAAACUUCUUUAGUGUGGGAACAAAGCGUGGUUGCGACCGCAGAUGAGUGUACCACAAGAAUAAGCAUCGGCUAACUCCGUGCCAGCAGCCGCGGUAAUACGGAGGAUGCAAGCGUUAUCCGGAUUUAUUGGGUUUAAAGGGUGCGUAGGCGGAUGGGUAAGUCAGCGGUGAAAUGUCCCGGCUCAACCGGGGAACUGCCAUUGAUACUGCCUGUCUUGAAUGCGGAUGCCGUGGGAGGAAUGUGUAGUGUAGCGGUGAAAUGCAUAGAUAUUACACAGAACACCGAUUGCGAAGGCAUCUCACGAAUCCGCUAUUGACGCUGAGGCACGAAAGCGUGGGGAUCAAACAGGAUUAGAUACCCUGGUAGU
rnacentral:rRNA from 1 species